rnacentral:rRNA from 1 species
GUGAGGAAUCUUCCGCAAUGGACGAAAGUCUGACGGAGCGACGCCGCGUGAGUGAAGAAGGCCUUCGGGUCGUAAAGCUCUGUCAUCAGGGACGAACGUGCUCUUUGUGAAUAAUGAGGAGUAAUGACGGUACCUAAAUAAGAAGCCACGGCUAACUACGUGCCAGCAGCCGCGGUAAUACGUAGGUGGCAAGCGUUGUCCGGAAUUAUUGGGCGUAAAGCGCGCGCAGGCGGGAUAUCAAGUCUGUCUUAAAAGUGCGAGGCUCAACCUCGUGAGGGGACAGAAACUGGUAUUCUUGAGUGUCGGAGAGGAAAGUGGAAUUCCAAGUGUAGCGGUGAAAUGCGUAGAGAUUUGGAAGAACACCAGUGGCGAAGGCGACUUUCUGGACGAUGUCUGACGCUGAGGCGCGAAAGCUAGGGGAGCGAACGGGAUUAGAAACCCGGGUAGUCC